GACGAACGCUGGCGGCGUGCCUAAUACAUGCAAGUAGAACGCAGUUGCGAACGGGUGAGUAACGCGUAGGUAACUGCCUCAUAGCGGGGGAUAAAUAUUGGAAACGAUAGCUAACACCCCAUACUGUGAGAUGGACCUGCGUUGUAUUAGGUAGUUGGUGAGGUAAAGGCUCAACAAGGCGACGAUACAUAGCCGACCUGAGAGGGUGACUGGCCAGACUGGGAACUAGACAACGCCCAGGCUCCUACGGUAGGCAGCCGUAGGGAAACUUUGGCAAAGGGCGGAAGUCUUACCGAGCAACGCCGCGGGGGUUGAGGAGGUUUUCGGAUCGUAAAGCUCUGUUGUUAGAGAAGCGGUAACUAACCAGAAAGGGACGGCUAACUACGUGCCAGCAGCCGCGGUAAUUC
rnacentral:rRNA from 1 species